rnacentral:rRNA from 1 species
GAGGNGACGGCCCACAUUGGGACUGAGACACGGCCAGACUCCUACGGAAGGCAGCAG